rnacentral:rRNA from 1 species
GAGUUUGAUCAUGGCUCAGGCAUGAACGCUAGCGGCAGGCCUAACACAUGCAAGUCGAGGGGCAGCAUUUCUUUUCGGAGAAGAUGGCGACCGGCGCACGGGUGCGUAACGCGUAUGCAACCUACCCAUUACAGGGGGAUAGCCCGGGGAGACUCGGAUUAAUACCCUAUGGUACGAUUUGAUGGCAUCUGAAGAUCGUUAAAGAUUUAUUGGUAAUGGAUGGGCAUGCGUCUGAUUAGUUAGUUGGUGAGGUAACGGCUCACCAAGACGACGAUCAGUAGCGGGUCUGAGAGGAUGAUCCGCCACACUGGAACUGAGACACGGUCCAGACUCCUACGGGAGGCAGCAGUGAGGAAUAUUGGUCAAUGGGGGAGACCCUGAACCAGCCAUGCCGCGUGCAGGAAGACGGCCUUCUGGGUUGUAAACUGCUUUUAUACAGGAACAAAGAGUCCAUGCGUGGAAAAUUGAGUGUACUGUAUGAAUAAGCACCGGCUAACUCCGUGCCAGCAGCCGCGGUAAUACGGAGGGUGCGAGCGUUGUCCGGAUUUAUUGGG